rnacentral:lncRNA from 1 species
GCCAUCUCCUGUUCAGAGUAGCUCACCCAGGAUUGCCUGUGCAUACAUUUGCUUUAAAUUCAAGUGUAAUACCCAGGAUAAACUGAUUUCAAUGAGACUCAGGAAUAUUCCCCAUGCAUUUAAGGUUCUCCAUUCAGCCUCUUCUCGAAGCAACAUCUUUUGGUGGUGGUCAGUGUUAGAAGGCAGUUUGAACAAGAUUAAGAGGAUAAAACUGUUGUUCUUCUGGGAAGAAGAGGUCACAAUACAGUAGUGAUGUGAUCAAAGAUGGAAGGAAAGAAGACAGCAAUGUCCUUCUCCUAAGGCAGAAGAAAUCAGAGAGAAGGAUGGAGUGGGGAAAAGAAGAGGGAGGCUGACAGAGAAGCUUAAAGAAAUGCUUUCAGAUGGCAACAAAAGCCAAAAUAGACAAAUGGGAUUUAAUUAAACGAAAGAGUUUCUGCACAGCAAAAUAAACUAUCAUCAGCGUGAACAGGCAACCUACCGAAUGGGAGAAAAUUCUCACAAUCUACCCAUUUGACAAAAGGCUAAUAUCCAGAAUCUACAAAGAACUUAAACAAAUUUGAAAGAAAAAAAACAAUCCCAUCAAAAAGUGGGCAAAGGAUAUGAACAGACGCUUCUCAAAAUAAGACAUUUAUGCAGCCAACAGACAUAUGAAAAAAUGCUCAUCAUCACUGGUCAUCAGAGAAAUGCAAAUCAAAACCACAAUGAGAUACCAUCUCACGCCAGUUAGAAUGGCAAUCAUUAAGAAGUCAGGAAACAACAGAUGCUGGAGAGGAUGUGAAGAAAUAGGAACGCUUUUACACUGUUGGUGGGAGUGUGAAUUAGUACAACCAUUGUGGAAGACAGUGUGGUGAUUCCUCAAGGAUCUAGAACUAGAAAUACCAUUUGACCCAGCAAUCCCAUUACUGGGUAUAUACCCAAAGGAUUAUAAGUCACACUACUACAAAGACACAUGCACACGUAUGUUUAUUUUGGCACUAUUCACCAUAGCAAAGACUUGGAGCCAACCCAAACGUCCAUCAAUAAUAGACUGGAUAAAGAAAAUGUGGCACAUAUACACCAUGGAAUACUAUGCAGCCACAAAAAAGGAUGAGUUCAUGUCCUUUGCAGGGACAUGGAUGAAGCUGGAAACCAUCAUUCUCAGCAAAAUACCACGAGGACAGAAAACCAAACACUGCAUGUUCUCACUUAUAAGUGGAAAUUGAACAAUGAGAACACAUGGACACAGACAGGGGAACAUCACAUGUGGGGGCCUGCUCGGGGGUGGGGGGCUUGGGGAGGGAUAGCGUUAGGAGAAAUACCUAAUGUAAAUGAGGAGUUGAUGGGUGCAGCAAACCAACAUGGCACAUGUAUACCUAUGUAACAAAACUGCACGUUGUGCACAUGUAACCUAGAACUUAAAGUAUAACUAAAAAAAAAAAAAAAAAAGAAAGAAAAAUAAAGAGUUGUGCUUCAGAAAAAAAAAAAUGCUUUCAGGAUUGCCUCUUCAGACAUGGUUACAAUACAUAUACUCAGUUUUCUUUAUUAACUGGACCAGAUUAAUCUUCAUUAAACUGACUGAACUAGUAAUCUUUUAAUUUUAUGUCAUCAGACAUAAACAUUUGUCUUUUUUUUCGUUUUGCAUUAGCUUAAAUUGGUUUACCUCUCCUGAUAGUCUCCCUAUACCCUUUUUCUUUGUCCUUUAUACUCCAAGUAAAUCAUAUACCAUAUGUGGGAUCAAAUGGGGAGUAAAGUAUCCUCCAUCCUCCUGUCCUCAUUUGCUGUAAACCGGUGUAAAUUCUUACUUGUGCAUCUACAAUCUGUAUUAUUGGGUAUGUUCUUAAUGUAAUCUUUGUUCAGCUGAUAGUUUAUUUCAAAUUAUGAAAUCUGUUUAUAUCAUUACUUGUUUUUCCUAUGACAUGUAGUUUUUCACAAUAGCAAAGAGUUGAUGUGAUUUUUGUAGAUAUGCUAGAAAAUAAAAACUUUUUAAAUAACAUUUUUCAUAGUUAUUUGUUUGCUUUCAAAUUGCCCAAAGUAUAUUGCCAUGGAAACUUGCCUAUUUAGGAUAUUUCAAACAUAUAUUUUAAAAAUAUUGAAAUGUGGUGGUCAUUAAGAUACUCUCCCAAAACCAUAUCUAAACUCUUCCUUCUUUGGAGAAACAAUGAUUAAUAAUAGGUGUCUAGUGGUACCUACGCAUUCUUCAAAGAACACUAUUUUUGUGAUGAUAUGUGCUGUUCAUG